AAAUUGAAGAGUUUGAUCAUGGCUCAGAUUGAACGCUGGCGGCAGGCCUAACACAUGCAAGUCGAACGGUAACAGGAAGCAGCUUGCUGCUUUGCUGACGAGUGGCGGACGGGUGAGUAAUGUCUGGGAAACUGCCUGAUGGAGGGGGAUAACUACUGGAAACGGUGGCUAAUACCGCAUAACGUCGCAAGACCAAAGAGGGGGACCUUCGGGCCUCUUGCCAUCAGAUGUGCCCAGAUGGGAUUAGCUUGUUGGUGAGGUAACGGCUCACCAAGGCGACGAUCCCUAGCUGGUCUGAGAGGAUGACCAGCCACACUGGAACUGAGACACGGUCCAGACUCCUACGGGAGGCAGCAGUGGGGAAUAUUGCACAAUGGGCGCAAGCCUGAUGCAGCCAUGCCGCGUGUAUGAAGAAGGCCUUCGGGU
rnacentral:rRNA from 1 species